CUCCUGUCAUUUGAGAACAAGUGCCGGCAAGUAACUACUGCCGGCUUGAUAGUAUCAGAAGAGGAAGGGACGGCUAACUCUGUGC
rnacentral:rRNA from 1 species